CCUACGGGUGGCAGCAGUGGGGAAUCUUGGUCAAUGGGCGCAAGCCUGAACCAGCGACGCCGCGUGAGUGAUGAAGGCCUUCGGGUUGUAAAGCUCUGUGGGGAGGGACGAAAGACUGAGGUCUAAUAGGCUUCAGGUUGACGGUACCUCCUUAGCAAGCACCGGCUAACUCUGUGCCAGCAGCCGCGGUAAGACAGAGGGUGCAAACGUUGCUCGGAAUCACUGGGCGUAAAGGGCGUGUAGGCGGGAAGGUAAGUCGGGCGUGAAAUCCCCAAGCUCAACUUGGGAACUGCACUCGAAACUACCUUUCUUGAGUGUCGGAGAGGAAAGCGGAAUUCCUGGUGUAGAGGUGAAAUUCGUAGAUAUCAGGAGGAACACCAGUGGCGAAGGCGGCUUUCUGGACGAUAACUGACGCUGAGACGCGAAAGCGUGGGGAGCAA
rnacentral:rRNA from 1 species